CCGGAUGUAGCGCAGAGGCAGGCGCCCCGUCUCCGCAACGGGAUCACGCCGGUUCGAAUCCGGCCGUCCGGG
rnacentral:tRNA from 1 species